UUGAUCCUGGCUCAGAACGAACGCUGGCGGCGCGCCUAAUACAUGCAAGUCGAACGAGAAUGUGUAGCAAUACACAUGUACAGUGGCGAACGGGUGAGGAAUACAUGGGUAACCUACCCUCGAGUGGGGAAUAACUAGCCGAAAGGUUAGCUAAUACCGCGUACGCUUCCGGGACUGCGGUUUCGGAAGGAAAGCGAUACCGUGGGUAUCGCGCUCUUGGAUGGGCUCAUGCCCUAUCAGCUUGUUGGUGAGGUAACGGCUCACCAAGGCUUCGACGGGUAGCUGAUCUGAGAGGAUGAUCAGCCACACUGGCACUGCGACACGGGCCAGACUCCUACGGGAGGCAGCAGUAAGGAAUAUUGCGCAAUGGGCGAAAGCCUGACGCAGCGACGCCGCGUGGGGGAUGAAGGUCUUCGGAUUGUAAACCCCUUUCGGGAGGGAAGAUGGAAUGGGGUAACCCAUUCGGACGGUACCUCCAGAAGCAGCCACGGCUAACUUCGUGCCAGCAGCCGCGGUAAUACGAAGGCGGCAAGCGUUGUUCGGAUUUACUGGGCGUACAGGGAGCGUAGGCGGUUGGAUAAGCCCUCCGUGAAAUCUCCAGGCUUAACCUGGAAAGUGCAGAGGGGACUGUUCAGCUAGAGGAUUGGGAGAGGAGCGCGGAAUUCCCGGUGUAGCGGUGAAAUGCGUAGAGAUCGGGAGGAAAGGCCGGUUGCAAGGCGGCGCUCCUUGGAACAUUUCUGACGCUGAGGCUUCGAAAAGCGUGGGGAGGCAAACAGGAUUAGAUACCCCUUGGUAAUUCCACCGCCCUUAAAACGAUGGAUAACUAAAUUGUCUCGGGCGGGUUUACCGGCCGGUUGCCGCAGUAACGCAAGUUAAUGUAUCCCGCCUGGGAAGUUACGGCCGAAAGGUUUGAAAUUCAAAGGAAUUGACGGGGGCCCGCACAAGCGGUGGAGCAUGUGGUUUAAUUUGACGCAACGCGAAGAACCUACUAGGCUGGACAUGCACGUAGUAGGAGGGUGAAAGCCUAACGAGGUAGCAAUACAGCGUGCUCAGGUGCUGCAUGGCUGUGUCAGCUCGUGCCGUGAGGUGUUGGGUUAAGUCCCGCAACGAGCGCAACCCCUGUCUUCAGUUACCCAACGGGUCAUGCCGGGAACUCUGGAGAGACUGCCCAGGAGAACGGGGAGGAAGGUGGGGAUGACGUCAAGUCAGCAUGGCCUUUAUGCCUAGGGCNUACACACGUGCUACAAUGGCCGGCACAAAGCGCUGCANACCCGCAAGGGGGAGCCGAUCGCAAAAAACCGGCCUCAGUUCAGAUCGAGGUCUGCAACUCGACCUCGUGAAGGCGGAAUCGCUAGUAAUCCCGGAUCAGCACGCCGGGGUGAAUACGUUCCCGGGCCUUGUACACACCGCCCGUCACACCACGAAAGUUUGUUGUACCUGAAGUCGUUGACGCCAACCGCAAGGAGCCNGACGCCCACGGCUAUGACCAGACUGAUUCGCGGGCUGAAGUCGUAACAAGGUAGACCGUAGGGGAACCUGCGGC
rnacentral:rRNA from 1 species